rnacentral:rRNA from 1 species
GCCAGACUCCUACGGGAGGCAGCAGUGAGGAAUAUUGGUCAAUGGCCGCAGGGCUGAACCAGCCAAGUCGCGUGAGGGAUGACGGUCCUAUGGAUUGUAAACCUCUUUUGUCAGGGAGCAAAGGGCGCCACGUGUGGCGUUUUGCGAGUACCUGAAGAAAAAGCAUCGGCUAACUCCGUGCCAGCAGCCGCGGUAAUACGGAGGAUGCGAGCGUUAUCCGGAUUUAUUGGGUUUAAAGGGUGCGCAGGCGGAGGUGCAAGUCAGAUGUGAAAUCCACAGGCUCAACCUGUGAACUGCAUUUGAAACUGUUUCCCUUGAGUAUCGGAGAGGUCAUCGGAAUUCCUAGUGUAGCGGUGAAAUGCGUAGAUAUUAGGAAGAACACCAGUGGCGAAGGCGGAUGACUGGACGACAACUGACGGUGAGGCGCGAAAGCGUGGGGAGCAAACAGGAUUAGAUACCCGAGUAAG